GCCGGGCAUGGUGGCUCAUGCCUGUAAUCCCAGCACUUUGGGAGGCCAAGGUGGGUGGAUCACCUGAGGUCAGGAGUUCAAGACCAGCCUGGCCAACAUGGUGAAACCCCAUCUCUA
rnacentral:SRP_RNA from 1 species